rnacentral:rRNA from 1 species
CGCGAUUCGCCCUUCGGGGUGCAGCAGGCGCGAAAACUUUGCAAUGCGGGAAACCGUGACAAGGGAACUCUGAGUGCCCGUUAAAUCGGGCUGUCCAUCGGUUUAAACAACCGGUGAAGAAAGGGCCGGGCAAGACCGGUGCCAGCCGCCGCGAUAAUACCGGCGGCUCGAGUGGUGGCCACUAUUACUGGGCUUAAAGCGUUCGUAGCUGGUUUGUUAAGUCUCUGGGGAAAUCUUCCGGCUCAACCGGAAGGCGUCUCAGGGAUACUGGCAGACUAGGGACCGGGAGAGGUGAGAGGUACUCCAGGGGUAGGAGUGAAAUCCUGUAAUCCUUGGGGGACCACCUGUGGCGAAGGCGUCUCACCAGAACGGCUCCGACAGUGAGGGACGAAAGCUGGGGGAGCAAACCGGAUUAGAUACCCGGGUAGUCCCAGCUGUAAACGAUGCGCGUUAGGUGUAUCGGUGACCACGAGUCACCGAGGUGCCGAAGAGAAAUCGUGAAACGUGCCGCCUGGGAAGUACGGUCGCAAGGCUGAAACUUAAAGGAAUUGGCGGGGGAGCAC